UGUUCGCUGGGUUCAUAGGAAGACAAACUUCAUUCCAUCUCAUAUCAUUUUUCAAACCAUAAUAUUUGCAUAAAUGUUACAGGAUGCAAUAGAAGAGAAGGAUGGCUGAAUGGCGUUUGUCCAAAGGAUACCCAAAACGGAGAUGACAAACUAUCAACACAACACCAAGGAAGGUUAGAAAUACUUCACACAGAUGUAAUAUUAACGGGAAGAAACCUACCGCCUAACAACGGCCUGCUGCAGAAAUUGCAACUGGGAAUAAAUAAACCAUGCACACAUUUUUUUAUUUUUAUUUAAAAUAUGAAAUAAAUUCCAUGUUCAUUGUAAAAAUUAAAUAAAUUAUAUCCGACUUAAUAUUGUAAUUUAAUAAAAUUACGUUGUUGAGAAAUAUCAA